rnacentral:rRNA from 1 species
CAGCAGCCACGGUAAUACGUAGGGUGCAAGCGUUAAUCGGAAUUACUGGGCGUAAAGCGUGCGUAGGCGGUGAGUUAAGUCUGCUGUGAAAUCCCCGGGCUCAACCUGGGAAUGGCAGUGGAUACUGGCUCGCUAGAGUGUGUCAGAGGAUGGUGGAAUUCCCGGUGUAGCGGUGAAAUGCGUAGAGAUCGGGAGGAACAUCAGUGGCGAAGGCGGCCAUCUGGGACAACACUGACGCUGAGGCACGAAAGCGUGGGGAGCAAACAGGAUUAGAUACCCGCGUAGUCCCUGUCUCUUAUAC